AGGCCCUAGCAGCCGCCGCCGCGCCGAGAGCGGUUCUCAGUUCCCGUUGUCUUUCCCGCCGCGCAGCGCUUCCGCCUACAGCCUCCGCCCCCGCAGCAGGAGGGGGAAGCAGGUGGCUUCAACAAUGAAGGACCAGAGAAAGGCAAACUUGGCUGUUCCUGAGAAUUGUGUUUUUCUCAUUUCAUGUGGUAGGACUUCUAAUGGAAAACCCGCCUCGCACUUUUCUUGGACGACAUCUCAAAUGCCCCUCACUUUGGCCUCUCGGGCACCAGACAACAAGCUGCAAAGGGGAAGCCCAUCCUUUCUUUGCUCCCCACUAUUUGUAAAACAAGGAAAAUAGCUCAACUAAUGAAAACGAUCUUGUCCCCUCAGUAUCUUUUUUUUUCCCCCGAAGCCUUCCUCAUCCACAGCUGAAGCCGUUUGUGGAAACCUAUCAGGUUUGUCCAAGCCAGGUUAUGCAGAGCUUGAGAAAUGAGGAAGCGAUGAACUAAGCCUCACUCCUGUGAGACUAGGUUUUUCAGUGACUUAUCCCCCGCGUGCGCAGGAGGGGGUAUCCAAAACGCGGAUAUAUACCAUCAGGUAAUGAACACUCGCUCUUGCCAGCUCUGAGCUUUGACACAGAUUUAGACCGUCCUAACUUCCAAGACUGGGGGAGGAGUUUAGCUACAUCCAAGUAGGGACUUAUAGAAAUAUGCCCCUGGAAGGCCGGGCGCGGUGGCUCACGCCUGUAAUCCCAGCACUUUGGGAGGCCGACGCGGGUGGUUCACUAGGUCAGGAGAUCGAGACCAUCCUGGUUAAUACGGCGAAACCCCGUCUCUACUAAAAGUACAAAAAAAUUAGCCGGGCGUGGUGACAGGCGCCCGUAAUCCCAGCUACUAUGGAGGCUGAGGCAGCAGAAUGGCCUGAACCCGGGAGGCGGAGCUUGCAGUGUGCAGAGAUCGCGUCACUGCACUUCCAGCCUGGGCGACAGAGCGAGACUCCGUCUCAAAAAAAAAAAAAAAAAAAAAGAAAAAAAGAAAUAUGCCCCUGAAACUGUGGGAC
rnacentral:lncRNA from 10 species